GACUAUAAUCAUUAGAUUCCUUAGAUCUUGUAUGGACCACAACUAGUUCCAUCAUACAUUCCUUAAGAGCACCUUUAUCCCAGUUUCUAUAAGGGGUUCUAUACAUUAAUGAUGUAUUUAUUUAAAUAAAAAGAAAUUAAAUUGGAUGUAAUCGAUCCUUAAUGGAGGAUUUUCGGAACCGAUUAUGGAAUGGUUUCUAUGGGCACGUGUCGGCUAAAGAAGAGAGGAGGAGUAAUUAAAGUUUUUUUUUCCUUUGUCUCUUUCUUCUCUUCUCUUCUCCGCUUCUCUCUUCUCUGUUCUCUGUUCUCUCUUCUCUCUUGUUCUUCAGAGGAGACGACGAGUUUGAUUCGUCACGAAGCCAAUGCCAUCCUCCGCAUGCAAUCUCAUCACCUUCUUCUUUAUCUACUCUGUCACCCCAAACUCGAUCUCUAAUCUCCUUCUCCAGCUUCACUCCCAAAACUCAAGUUUUCUCCAGAAUCAGAACCAGAACCAGAAUCCCUUAUCUUCCUUCUUCUGUGUUUGCUUCCCAUCGACCCCGCAAUAUCAUCAACGUAAGAGUCGAUUUUUCCUCUAUUUAGUAGAUUCGAUUUUUUAAAUUGUUGUUGUUGAAACGAUUCAGUUUCCGGGUUUUAAAGAGGGGGCUUGUGCUGUUUUGUUUGUUGCAGGUGGGUUUGUUCAGGGGAUCGUGACGUGUUUGUGGAUCUUGAUGCCUUUGUCAGGUAAAGAUUCAUGUUUUAGUCUUGUUGGAGGCGUAAUUAGGAGCGGAUUGUUUUGUUGAUGAAUUAACUGAUUUAGUCUUGUGGGAGGUUUAAAUUGAGUUUAUCUAGUGAACGAUCUCUGCUAAUUAACUCAUUUAGUCUUGUGGGAGGCUAGCAUCAAGUUAAGAGCUUUGUGUAAUGAGUUGAUCUAGUGAAUGAUCUCUGGUUGUUCUGUUUUGCUCAGCUAGUCGUAUGUGUGUUUGCAUAAUACAAUAGGAUAGUGUCUUCAAGCUCUUAUUAGAUCUCUGCCUUUAACUUAACCUUAAUACAAUAGAUUCAUCUUCAAGCUUUGCAUAAUACAGUAGCAUUAUUCAUUAUGUUUACUAAUUCUUUUUAAUUUCUUCAUCUUUUGCGAGUCCUCUAUUGGUAGUUGCGCUUGCUGUGGCACAGGCUUUUCCCAUCAGCUGUCUUGGAGAAGCAACCAUUACUGGCGCCUCACGGUGAGGUAAAUUUGUCAAACUUGAUCUUCUUCAAGUCUUGGAUCUUCCUUUAUUGCUUUACUGUGGAUGGUAGUUGAUAGAUGGGGUUUAAUAAAUGCUUGUUAGAGCUGAUAGAUUGCUAGUUAAAACGCGUGUGAUCAAUGGUUGGUUUAGUUUAACUUUAGGAUUGUGUGCAAUGUAAUAAAUAUGGUAGAUUCAUGUCAACUCAUCUUAACUCAACUCAAAUCCAAGAGUUGUGUGUGAUCAAUGCUUCCUUCUCUUCUCUUCUAUUAAACCCGGAUCUUCUUCUUUCUCUCUUCUCCACAUUUCUUCUUCUUCUUCACAUAACUUCUUCUUUCUCGCUUCUUUCAGACUACUUCCUAUUUUUCUCUUCUUUAGGAUAUGGAUCCUACAAAUCCAUAUACUCAUUACAACUCGAGCUUUGUUGAUCUUUUGAGCAGUCAACAAGACCCGUUUUGUUCUGAGGGUUUAUCACAGCCCCCUGCAACUUCAACCUUUGGUGAUGACACACCUACCGAGCGCAAAGAAAGGAAGAAAUGGACUCCCACAGAGGACGUAGUGCUCAUAAGCUCAUGGUUGAAUACAAGCAAGGAUCCUGUGGUUGGCAAUGAGCAAAAGGCGGGAGCAUUCUGGAAACGGAUAGCAGCUUACUAUGCAGCCUCACCAAAGGUCGCAAACAGUGAAAAGCGAGAGGCUAUUCAGUGUAAGCAAAGGUGGCAGAAGAUUAACGACCUUGUUUCCAAGUUUUGUGGCUCAUAUGAGGCGGCAACAAGACAAAAAACAAGUGGGCAGAACGACGGUGAUGUUGUUAAGCUUGCCCACGAAAUCUUUUAUAACGAUCACAAGAUCAAAUUCAACCUUCACCACGCUUGGGAGGAGUUGCGCAACGACCAGAAAUGGUGUGAACUUGCAACUUCUAAGCUUGAUGGUAGCUCUAAAAAGAGAAGGUGUGAGGAUGGUGCACAAUCUGAAAGCUCGCACGGAACUAUCAAUCUAGAUGAUCCACCAACCAAACGACCUGUUGGUGUUAAGGCAGCUAAAGGAGGAAGUAGUAAGAGAAGUAUGGAGGAUGGCAAGGGUUUCACCGCAUUUCAAAACAUGUGGGCUCUGAAAGACAAAGACUUGGAACGCAAGGAAAAACUGAAACGGAUGUGUCUGAUAGACAGACUCCUUGCGAAAACAGAGCCAUUAUCUGAAGAAGAAGAAGCUCUAAAGAAGAAGUUGAUCAGAGAGAUGUUGGCUACUCAGCUCUAAACGCGUCUUUACCUUUCUUUGUCUCGUUCUUAGUGUACCAUAUUCUGUUUCUUGUUCUAUGUUUCAGGUUCUUGGUCUUGGUCGAAACUACUUUUAAGUUUCUUGUGCUUGUUCUGUAUCUUCAAUUUCUUGUUUAUGUAUCGUCUGUGAUGAUGUUGUUUAAUGGAUUUAAGUUUUAAUGGAAUGGUGUAGUUCUGUAAUUGCAUUAAGAUUUAAGUUUCUUGGUAUGGUGUAGUUCUGUAAUUGCAUUAAGUUUCUUGUUAUGGUGUAGUUCUGUAAUUGCAUUAAGAUUUAAGUUUCUUGUUAUUUUUUUUCUCAGCAGGUAACAAGACAGAAGACGAGUGGGAGUCAUGUUUGAUCACGAGUGUGCUGAGCGCUGUGAAGUCAUGUUUGAGUCAGAGACUGAGCGCUUUGAAGUCAUGUGUGAUCACGAGUGUUGUUUGAUUGUGUCAUGUAUUGGUUGUAUGUGUCACGGAAAGGGAAUGGUCUUUGUCUUUUUGUCUGAUCACUAGUGUCUUUUUGUAAAGUCACGGACUAAUGUUUUGUCAUCAGACUGUCUUUUAUGUUUUGUAAGUUUAUGUCACAGACUUGUAAUCAGCUUCUCUCUUAAAUUUAAGUCCUAUAAAGGCUCGAUGGCAUUGGCUUUCAUCUUUGUACCACUUCUCUCUUUCAUCUUUCAUCUUUGUAUCACUUCUCUCCUUGUUAUUUCAUUUUUCACGAUCACCUUCUCUCUUAUGUUUAAGUCUUGUUAACCACAACAACAAAGUAAACCACAUCAAAGUUAUUCUCCUUCUUAUUCUCCAACAAAUCAAAUCUUAUUCACAACAUCUAAACACAUGGCUUCUUCUUCACAAAACUCAUUUGAGGGAUCACUUGAUGAGGAAUUUGAUCAAUAUUUUGAUGAAGCUUUUGAUCAACUUUUUGAUGAAACAAUCGAGAAUAUGGCUAUUCAAUACAGUGGUCAAGAAGAUGAGAGAAAAGAAAGGAAAAAACGAGUUUAUAUCGAAAGAAAUCGAGAAGCCGGUCAUAUACGAUUAUGGAAUGAUUAUUUCAGUGAGACUCCGACGUAUCCUGAAAAUUUAUUCCGACGACGUUUUAGAAUGAACAAGCCAUUGUUCAUGCACAUUGUUGAACGACUUUCCAACGAAGUUCAAUUCUUUCGCCAAAAGAAAGAUGGUCUUGGAAGGCUUGGUCUCUCUGCCCUCCAAAAGUGUACAGCAGCCAUUCGUGUCUUGGCUUAUGGUACUGCAGCUGAUGCGGUCGAUGAAUAUCUCCGGCUCGGGGAAACAACAACUCGGGCAUGUGUGGAAAAAUUUGUGGAAGGAAUAAUCAAUUUAUUCGGUGAGGAGUAUCUAAGAAAACCAACACCGGCUGAUCUUCAACGUCUACUUGAUAAUGGAGAGUAUCAUGGAUUUUCCGGGAUGAUAGGAAGCAUCGAUUGUAUGCAUUGGGAGUGGAAGAAUUGUCCCACCGCUUGGAAAGGGCAAUAUUCGCGUGGUUCGGGUAAACCAACAAUCGUUUUAGAGGCCGUGGCUUCAUCUGAUCUCUGGAUAUGGCAUGCGUUUUUUGGUCCUCCAGGUACCUUAAAUGAUAUUAAUGUUCUUGACCGCUCACCUGUUUUUGAUGACAUAAUAAAUGGUCAAGCUCCGCAAGUCACUUACUCUGUCAAUGGAAGAGAGUAUCAUAUGGCUUACUAUCUGACCGAUGGUAUUUAUCCCAAAUGGGCGACUUUUAUCCAAUCUAUUCCACUACCACAAGGACCGAAAGCAGUUUUAUUUGCUCAACGUCAAGAAGCUGUCCGAAAAGAUGUGGAGCGUGCUUUUGGAGUCUUGCAAGCUCGCUUUGCCAUUAUCAAAAAUCCGGCACUUUUUUGGGAUAAAGUCAAAAUUGGGAAGAUUAUGAGAGUAUGUAUCAUACUCCAUAAUAUGAUAGUAGAAGAUGAGCGGGAUGGAUACACACAAUUUCAUGUUUCUGAGUUUCUACAGAGAGAAGACACCGGAAGUUCACGUGUCGAUCUCGAUUUUUCUCAAGAUAUGCCUACAAAUAUCGCCAAUAGGAUGGGUGCUCGAACUAGAAUUCGCGAUAGAAAGAUGCAUCAACAACUAAAAGCGGAUUUGGUUGAACAUAUUUGGCAUAAAUUUGGACGUGAUGCAGACUACUGAGCUCGUUGAGCUCGUUUCAAAUUAUUUUAUAAUCUACUCUUUGUUUUUAUGUUUUUUUUAAAUAUAUGUUAAAAUUGUUAUCUUUCAAUAUGUUUUAUUUAAUAAAUCAAUUUUAUUUUAAAAAAAAUUAUAAUUUUUUUUUAAGAACCCUUAAUUAAGAAACCCCCAUUGCAGGCACAAAAUCGAACAGUUUCUUAACUAGAAUCCUUAAACCCACUUUAGUACAUUUAAUAAAUUAAAUAAUGAUUAAAGAAACCCACUUGAGUUUCAUGGAUAAUCAUGCUCUAAGUCUUAUAGUUUUCUUAUUUUUAUCUUUGAAUGAGCCUUUCUCGAAUAAGUAAUAAACUAAUAUUAAGAAUAUUUUAUGUCAGAAAAUGAAAAAAAAUAAAAUAAAAUAAUAAAAAAAAGAAAUAGAGAGACCUUUGCCACUUGGUUAAGCAAUAUAUGAC
rnacentral:lncRNA from 1 species